AAACCAACCGGGAUUGCCUUAGUAACGGCGAGUGAAGCGGCAAAAGCUCAAAUUUGAAAUCUGGUACCUUCGGUGCCCGAGUUGUAAUUUGGAGAGGGCAACUUUGGGGCCGUUCCUUGUCUAUGUUCCUUGGAACAGGACGUCAUAGAGGGUGAGAAUCCCGUGUGGCGAGGAGUGCGGUUCUUUGUAAAGUGCCUUCGAAGAGUCGAGUUGUUUGGGAAUGCAGCUCUAAGUGGGUGGUAAAUUCCAUCUAAAGCUAAAUAUUGGCGAGAGACCGAUAGCGAACAAGUACAGUGAUGGAAAGAUGAAAAGAACUUUGAAAAGAGAGUGAAAAAGUACGUGAAAUUGUUGAAAGGGAAGGGCAUUUGAUCAGACAUGGUGUUUUGUGCCCUCUGCUCCUUGUGGGUAGGGGAAUCUCGCAUUUCACUGGGCCAGCAUCAGUUUUGGUGGCAGGAUAAAUCCAUAGGAAUGUAGCUUGCCUCGGUAAGUAUUAUAGCCUGUGGGAAUACUGCCAGCUGGGACUGAGGACUGCGACGUAAGUCAAGGAUGCUGGCAUAAUGGUAAUAUGCCGCCCGUCUUGAAACACGGACC
rnacentral:rRNA from 1 species